rnacentral:rRNA from 1 species
UACGACGGGGGCUAGCGUUGCUCGGAAUCACUGGGCGUAAAGCGCACGUAGGCGGAUCUUUAAGUCAGGGGUGAAAUCCCAAGGCUCAACCUUGGAACUGCCUUUGAUACUGGGGAUCUCGAGUCCGGAAGAGGUUGGUGGAACUGCGAGUGUAGAGGUGAAAUUCGUAGAUAUUCGCAAGAACACCAGUGGCGAAGGCGGCCAACUGGUCCGGUACUGACGCUGAGGUGCGAAAGCGUGGGGAGCAAACAGG